CGCAAGUCGAACGAAUGUAGCAAUACAUUAGUGGCAAACGGGUGAGUAACACGUACCCAAUCUACCACAUAGUGGGGGAUACCUAAAAGAAAUUUUAGUUAAUACCGCAUAGGACAUUAUCAUGACAUCAGAAAAUGUUUAAAGAUAGGUUUCUAUCGCUAUAUGAUGAGGGUGCGGCAUAUCAGAUAGUUGGUGAGGUAACGGGCUCACCAAGUCAAUGACGUGUAUCUGUGCUGAGAGGCAAUACAGACACAAAUGGGACUGAGACACGGCCCCAUACUCCUACGGGGAGGCAGCAGUAGGGAAUUUUUCACAAUGGGGGCAACCCUGGUGAAGCAAUGCCGCGUGAAUAAUGAAGGUCUUCGGAUUUGUAAAGUUCUUUUAUAAGGGAAGAAUAGCAAGUUUAGGAAAUGAAAUUUGUGUGACGGUACCUUAUGAAUAAGUAACGGCUAACUAUGUGCCAGCAGCCGCGGUAAUACAUAGGUUGCAAGCGUUAUCCGGAUUUACUGGGGCGUAAAGCAAGCGCGGGUUGACUAGCAAGUCUGGUGUUAAAUACGAUAGCUUAACUAUCGUAUGCAUGGGGAAACUGCUAGUCUAGAGUACAGUAGGGGUGUUUUGGAACUCCAUGUGGAGCGGUGGAAUGCGUAGAUAUUAUGGAAGACCACCAGUGGCGAAGGCGAAAACAUUGGCUGUAACUGACACUUAGGCUUGAAAGUGUGGGGAGCGAAAUAGGAUUAGAUACCCUAGUAGUCCACACCGUAAACGAUGGAUAUUAAAUAUUGGUACGUGAUAUAUCAGUAUUGUAGCU
rnacentral:rRNA from 1 species